AACGAACGCUGGCGGCAGGCUUAACACAUGCAAGUCGAGCGCCCCGCAAGGGGAGCGGCAGACGGGUGAGUAACGCGUGGGAAUCUACCCAUCUCUACGGAAUAACGCAUGGAAACGUGUGCUAAUACCGUAUACGUCCUUCGGGAGAAAGAUUUAUCGGAGAUGGAUGAGCCCGCGUUGGAUUAGCUAGUUGGUGGGGUAAAGGCCUACCUAGGCGACGAUCCAUAGCUGGUCUGAGAGGAUGAUCAGCCACACUGGGACAGAGACACGGCCCAGACUCCUACGGGAGGCAGCAGUGGGGAAUAUUGGACAAUGGGCGCAAGCCUGAUCCAGCCAUGCCGCGUGAGUGAUGAAGGCCCUAGGGUUGUAAAGCUCUUUCACCGGUGAAGAUAAUGACGGUAACCGGAGAAGAAGCCCCGGCUAACUUCGUGCCAGCAGCCGCGGUAACAC
rnacentral:rRNA from 1 species